CCCGUAUUGAUUUUAUUGUACUGCUUGUGGCUAGAUUCUAGAUGACUGGAAGCUGAUUUAAGAGGUAAAAGCGUGUUGGAGUAGAGUUUUGCUCGGAUUGAGAUCCAGGUGCUUCCGGUCACGAUGGCUGCUAAGUGAGGAGUCAGGAUCUUGGGAGACUAUCGAGGUAGUUGCAUAGCGUUCGCAUGCCUUAACUCUUCUUCAUUAUAUUUAUUUGUAUUUCAGUUCUUAUUUCUUAGUCAUUGUAGUAGACUGUAUCCCGGUGUAGAUGCUCAUAUACUCGGUGACACUUCUAUUUUGUGAGAGAAUUGCAUUGAGUUGCGAACUUAUUUCUGCUUUCAAAAGGUUUUGUUUCAA